rnacentral:rRNA from 1 species
GAUGAACGCUAGCUACAGGCUUAACACAUGCAAGUCGAGGGGUAACAAGAGGAAAAAUUGCUUUCCUUGUUGACGACCGGCGCACGGGUGAGUAACGCGUAUCCAACCUGCCUAUAACUAGGGAAUAACCUUGCGAAAGUAAGACUAAUACCCUAUGAUUUCCUUUGAUGACAUCAGAUUAGGAAUAAAGAUUUAUCGGUUAUAGAUGGGGAUGCGUCUGAUUAGCUUGUUGGCGGGGUAACGGCCCACCAAGGCAACGAUCAGUAGGGGUUCUGAGAGGAAGGUCCCCCACAUUGGAACUGAGACACGGUCCAAACUCCUACGGGAGGCAGCAGUGAGGAAUAUUGGUCAAUGGGCGGAAGCCUGAACCAGCCAAGUAGCGUGCAGGAUGACGGCCCUAUGGGUUGUAAACUGCUUUUAUACAGGAAUAAAGUUAGCCACGUGUGGUUAUUUGUAGGUACUGUAUGAAUAAGGACCGGCUAAUUCCGUGCCAGCAGCCGCAGUAA